rnacentral:rRNA from 1 species
GACGAACGCUGGCGGCGUGCCUAAUACAUGCAAGUCGAGCGAUGAUUAAAGAUAGCUUGCUAUUUUUAUGAAGAGCGGCGAACGGGUGAAUAACGCGUGGGAAAUCUGCCGAGUAGCGGGGGACAACGUUUGGAAACGAACGCUAAUACCGCAUAACAAUGAGAAUCGCAUGAUUCUUAUUUGAAAGAAGCAAUUGCUUCACUACUUGAUGAUCCCGCGUUGUAUUAGCUAGUUGGUAGUGUAAAGGACUACCAAGGCGAUGAUACAUAGCCGACCUGAGAGGGUGAUCGGCCACACUGGGACUGAGACACGGCCCAGACUCCUACGGGAGGCAGCAGUAGGGAAUCUUCGGCAAUGGGGGCAACCCUGACCGAGCAACGCCGCGUGAGUGAAGAAGGUUUUCGGAUCGUAAAACUCUGUUGUUAGAGAAGAACGUUAAGUAGAGUGGAAAAUUACUUAAGUGACGGUAUCUAACCAGAAAGGGACGGCUAACUACGUGCCAGCAGCCGCAGUAAGAC